rnacentral:rRNA from 1 species
GACGAACGCUGGCGGCGUGCUUAACACAUGCAAGUCGAACGGAAAGGCCCUGCUUUUGUGGGGUGCUCGAGUGGCGAACGGGUGAGUAACACGUGAGUAACCUGCCCUUGACUUUGGGAUAACUUCAGGAAACUGGGGCUAAUACCGGAUAGGAGCUCCUGCUGCAUGGUGGGGGUUGGAAAGUUUCGGCGGUUGGGGAUGGACUCGCGGCUUAUCAGCUUGUUGGUGGGGUAGUGGCUUACCAAGGCUUUGACGGGUAGCCGGCCUGAGAGGGUGACCGGCCACAUUGGGACUGAGAUACGGCCCAGACUACUACGGGAGGCAGCAGUGGGGAAUAUUGCACAAUGGGCGGAAGCCUGAUGCAGCAACGCCGCGGGCGGGAUGACGGCCUUGGGGUUGUAAACCGCUUUCGCCUGUGACGAAGCGGGAGUGACGGUAAUGGGUAAAGAAGCACCGGCUAACUAC